UGCGUAGGCGGCGCGGUAAGUCGGGUGUGAAAUCUCGGAGCUUAACUCCGAAACUGCAUUCGAUACUGCCGUGCUUGAGGACUGGAGAGGAGACUGGAAUUUACGGUGUAGCGGUGAAAUGCGUAGAUAUCGUAAGGAAGACCAGUGGCGAAGGCGGGUCUCUGGACAGUUCCUGACGCUGAGGCACGAAGGCCAGGGAGGCAAAC
rnacentral:rRNA from 1 species